GGCCGUCUAGCUCAGUUGGUUAGAGCGUCGUGCUAAUAUGGAGUUGCCUCUGUCUAUUACGCGAAGGUCUUGGGUUCGACCCCCACGAUGGCCA